UACGGGAGGGGCUAGCGUUUUUCGGAAUUACUGGGCGUAAAGAGCGCGUAGGCGGCUUACCAAGUUGGGGGUGAAAUCCCGGAGCUCAACUCCGGGACUGCCUUCAAAACUGGUAGGCUCGAGUCCGGAAGAGGGGCGUGGAAUUCCCAGUGUAGAGGUGAAAUUCGUAGAUAUUGGGAAGAACACCGGUGGCGAAGGCGGCGCCCUGGUCCGGUACUGACGCUGAGGCGCGAAAGCGUGGGGAGCAAACAGG
rnacentral:rRNA from 1 species